GUUUAUAUGUGGUUGGUGCGCAAAGAUCCCAGACACAGAAACAGAAGGGAAGAAAAGAGCAUUUAAGACGCUUCAUUUCAAUCACUACUGAAACAAUAAAAAAAAUCCAAACGAAAAUAAAAGCACAUACAAAAAAAGCACAACCUUAAAACAAUAUCUGAGAGCAUGAACCCAGUUUACAGCCCUGCACCUUCAGGGGUUCCCUAUGCAAAUCCAAAGGGAAUUGGAUAUCCAGCUGGGUUUCCUUUAAGCUAUGCAGCAGCUGCACCUGCAUACACUCCUAACAUUUAUCCAGGAGCAAACACAGCAUUUCAGGCUGGGUACACCCCAGGCACAUCAUAUAAAGUGCCCUGCUCUCCAUCAACUGGCACUGUACCACCAUACUCCUCCUCCCCAAACCCUUAUCAAACAGCAGUAUAUCCAGUUAGAAGUGCCUAUCCACAACAAAACCCUUAUGCACAGCAAGGUGCUUACUACACACAACCAUUAUAUGCUGCUCCACCACAUGUCAUUCAUCACACCACAGUUGUUCAGCCUAAUGGGAUGCCUGCUGCAAUGUAUGCCCCUUCUAUCCCACCUCCUAGAGCUACUGGUGUGGCAAUGGGCAUGGUAGCAGGGACAACAAUGGCAAUGUCAGCAGGCACUUUGCUGACAACUCAUUCCCCAACUGCAGUUGCUCCUCAUCCAGUUACAAUGCCUGCCUAUAGGCCACCAGGAACACCUACCUAUAGCUAUGUGCCUCCACAAUGGUGAGCUGUCUGACAGUAUCACAUAUUCAAAAUCGCAUCACAUGGCAAGAACCAGGUGUAUUAGUGAACCGUCAGCAUGGAUUCACAGGGAAGAUUGUGUUUUACUAAUGUGCUGGAAUUCAAUGAGGAAGCAACAAAAGCAUAUGACCCUAGAGGUUUAAAGAUGAGAGAUAUGCAUUCAGUCAAGCAUUGUAGCCUUGAUGCUGAUGCCCUUGUGUUUCCGACUGGGACUUCUUGCAAAAGAAAUGAAAUGCAGUUUAAAACAAACAAAAAAUCCUUACUGUGCCCUAAACAAUUUGCCAAAACACUACAGUUUACUCGAUCUGGUGUUCCUCUAUACCGCAGCUGCAUAUCUUACAUCUUCCAACUUGGCCAAUACAAAAACAAAAAAUGGUUCUGAUGCAGAAUUGUAUUUGUAUACUGUCUUGCAUUUUCUAGAUGAAUUUUAAAGAUAAAGGGAGUGUACAUUUGGUUGGAUUCAUGUACAGUUGAAUGCAUGUUAAAAAGUGCUUGCUCGGUAUAUAUGCAGUGACUAAUACAAAACAUUCAUAUGCAAAAUCCAAAGGAGCUAAAGUUAAAAGCAAAUACAUUUGCAGCUUAGUAUCACUAAUGUAAUGUCUUAAUGUAUUUACAAAAGUAGAUCAAUUGUGUUGAAUUCUAUAUUAACAGCAUUUGGUACAGUAUACUUUGUUUAUAAAAUCUAAACUGUAUAUAUGUUUUACUUUUUGUUGUUUAAACACUUGUCAUCCAAAUGGGCACAGGUUUUAAUUUCUUGGGUUGGAAUAUUAAUUUGAUGUAUUUGGAGGAUGCUCUAGCUGGUAAUCUGGCUGGUUGGAUGCAAAUCAGCAUGUUAUUGUCUUACCAUCUUUUUAAGUUUUUAGUGAGUUUAAUAUUGAAUUGUGAUGUAUCUGAGGAGAUGUACAUAGGGGAGCAAAGUAAAAUUGAGGUGAAUGGCCAGUCUUGGUUUUAGAGAAGAGCUGUGCUAUGCACAGUCAGUAUUUAUUUAUUUUUUAAAUACUUGACCAAUUUUUACAAUGCUGUAACUUAAUUUGCAUCAUUGGAAUAGCCCUGCAAAUAAGCAUUAAAAUAAUAAUUUGUAAAAUUUUAUGAACAUCAGUCAAGAAAUUUAAAAUUAGUGAAAUAUUUCUUUUUAAGAAAUUAAAUAGCCACAUUAAUUGUAUUUAUCUAUACAUAUUUCAAUCUAUUUUUCUUAUGUAAAUAAAGGCUUUAAGAGUAUGCUGUAAACCUGUAAUCUCUUGUUGGUGAAAGCACAUUAGGCACAUGCAGUAUUCAGACAAUUAUGCAAGCAACAGAAUUAAUUUUUUUCAUGAUAUUUCAUGUGUUCAGUAUAAGUAGACUGAAAAAAUAUCUGUAAAAGCGAGUUACUCCAGCAUUAGACAGUCAAACAUAAAUUUAUUUAUUAAAGUAUUAGUAAGUACAUCAUUCAGGAAACAAAAAUGCCCAGAAAACUUUUAUACAUUAAGUAAAGCUGAUUUUUUUUUAUAGUAGUCAAGACCAGUUGUAAAGAGCCAAGCUUACAAUGAGUCAUAAAUACAUACUUUUUGAAAGUUAUAUUACCUAAUAUCCAUUUUAUCAUCACAUUGUUUUUUUCCCUAUUAUGUUUUUCUGAUUGUUUUACUAAUUCAGAAUUAUUUUUUGCAGUAGAAAAGUGCAGUUUGUGAUGAAAAGGAAAGUAAUUUUCAGUUAUCAGAAUGUAUGUAAGUAGGCAUUAAAAAAGAAAAUCAGACCUGAUUAUGAUUUAUGAUUGACAUAAGAAAAUUAUUACUGCUAUGAAACUGUAAAAUUCAAAGGACAGAAGGAAAAACUUCCUGUUUAAAUUUCAAAGGAGCAAACAUCUUCCAGUCCAGUUUUGAAACUGCAAGGUUGGUUAAAUGAAUUUCCCUUUAUACAUUUAACAAAUAACUGGAUUGCCGCAAUAUCCCAACCCACUCCUGAAUUAAAGUUUACCUUCUGCCUUCUAUAGUAGUCAAUAAACAAAAGUAAUUCUUCUAUGUUUUAAUUUGAUAUAGAAAGAGGGAGCUGGUAAAGGUGCUAUGCACAAGAUAGGUAGCAAUCUGUUCUUCACUGUUAACACUAUGAGGCCUUGAUGCUUGCAUGGUUUUUUUUUUUUGUUUUGUUUUUUAUACUUAACCCCUCUUUUUUAUUGUAUACCCUGCACUUUUACAAGCAUAAACGUUCAUGGUCAUUUUUUAUUUCACAUCACAUUUUACAAUAAAAAAUUAAAAACCCACUUUUAUUUGAGCUGUUUUUUGUUGAAGAAAUUUAUUAUAUUUGCAGAAUCUUGAAAACCAGAUCUUCUGACAAAGUGUCAAUAAUAUUCUUAGUCUAAUACAUUUUCAUAUUUUUAUUAUUAGUUAUUACAUAUACUUAUCAGAUACAUAUGUGUCAUUAUUUUGUUACUUUCUAAAAGAAAUUCUGGUAAGAAUAAAAUUUUGUAUUGGGUAUGGCUAUUGAUGGUCCAACAUCCAUUCAUUCAAUGAACUUGCAAACAGUGUAACUGAAUUAUUUUAGCGAAUAAGUUCAUGUUAAAAUUAUUUUAUUUUACUAUUUUUUUUUUUUGGUUGAAAUUGUUCCUACUUUAUAGUGUUAAUAAUUCAUAUUGUUUUAAUGAUAAAUAAAUGCCACCUAAGCUGAUAGAAUUUACAUCUUUACACACUUGGUUUAUUCUAUUGCAUUUAGAAAACAUCGGAGUUAAUACUAAUAAAGCCCAUCAUUUUUAAAAGA